CCUACGGGAGGCAGCAGUGGGGAAUAUUGCGCAAUGGGGGCAACCCUGACGCAGCAACGCCGCGUGAUUGAAGAAGGCCUUCGGGUUGUAAAGAUCUUUAAUUGGGGACGAAAACAAUGACGGUAUCCAAAGAAUAAGCUCCGGCUAACUACGUGCCAGCAGCCCCGGUAAGACGGAGGCAGGAAGCGUUAGCCGGAUUUACUGGGUGUAAAGGGCGAGGAGGCGGGCUGGCAAGUUGGGAGUGAAACCCCGGGGCUUAACCCCGGAACUGCUUUCAAAACUGCUGGUCUUGGAUGAUGGGGAGGCAGGCGGAAUGCCGGGUGUAGCGGUGAAAUGCGUAGAUAUACGGAGGAACACCAGUGGCGAAGGCGGCCUGCUGGACAUUAACUGACGCUGAGGCGCGAAAGCGUGGGGAGCAAACAGGAUUAGAUACCCGGGUAGUC
rnacentral:rRNA from 1 species